rnacentral:rRNA from 1 species
GGGUUGUGAGGUUAAGCGACUAAGCGUACACGGUGGAUGCCCUGGCAGUCAGAGGCGAUGAAGGACGUGCUAAUCUGCGAAAAGCGUCGGUAAGGUGAUAUGAACCGUUAUAACCGGCGAUGUCCGAAUGGGGAAACCCAGUGCAAUUCGUUGCACUAUCGUUAACUGAAUACAUAGGUUAACGAGGCGAACCGGGGGAACUGAAACAUCUAAGUACCCCGAGGAAAAGAAAUCAACCGAGAUUCCCCCAGUAGCGGCGAGCGAACGGGGAGCAGCCCAGAGUCUGAAUCAGCUUGUGUGUUAGUGGAACGGUCUGGAAAGUCCGACGGUACAGGGUGAUAGUCCCGUACACCAAAAUGCACAGGUUGUGAACUCGAAGAGUAGGGCGGGACACGUGGUAUCCUGUCUGAAUAUGGGGGGACCAUCCUCCAAGGCUAAAUACUCCUGACUGACCGAUAGUGAACCAGUACCGUGAGGGAAAGGCGAAAAGAACCCCGGCGAGGGGAGUGAAAAAGAACCUGAAACCGUGUACGUACAAGCAGUGGGAGCACCUUCGGGUGUGACUGCGUACCUUUUGUAUAAUGGGUCAGCGACUUAUAUUCUGUAGCAAGGUUAACCGUAUAGGGGAGCCGCAGGGAAACCGAGUCUUAACUGGGCGUUAAGUUGCAGGGUAUAGACCCGAAACCCGGUGAUCUAGCCAUGGGCAGGUUGAAGGUUGGGUAACACUAACUGGAGGACCGAACCGACUAAUGUUGAAAAAUUAGCGGAUGACUUGUGGCUGGGGGUGAAAGGCCAAUCAAACCGGGAGAUAGCUGGUUCUCCCCGAAAGCUAUUUAGGUAGCGCCUCGUGAAUUCAUCUUCGGGGGUAGAGCACUGUUUCGGCUAGGGGGUCAUCCCGACUUACCAACCCGAUGCAAACUACGAAUACCGAAGAAUGUUAUCACGGGAGACACACGGCGGGUGCUAACGUCCGUCGUGAAGAGGGAAACAACCCAGACCGCCAGCUAAGGUCCCAAAGUCAUGGUUAAGUGGGAAACGAUGUGGGAAGGCACAGACAGCCAGGAUGUUGGCUUAGAAGCAGCCAUCAUUUAAAGAAAGCGUAAUAGCUCACUGGUCGAGUCGGCCUGCGCGGAAGAUGUAACGGGGCUAAACCAUGCACCGAAGCUGCGGCAGCGACACUAUGUGUUGUUGGGUAGGGGAGCGUUCUGUAAGCCUGCGAAGGUGUGCUGUGAGGCAUGCUGGAGGUAUCAGAAGUGCGAAUGCUGACAUAAGUAACGAUAAAGCGGGUGAAAAGCCCGCUCGCCGGAAGACCAAGGGUUCCUGUCCAACGUUAAUCGGGGCAGGGUGAGUCGACCCCUAAGGCGAGGCCGAAAGGCGUAGUCGAUGGGAAACAGGUUAAUAUUCCUGUACUUGGUGUUACUGCGAAGGGGGGACGGAGAAGGCUAUGUUAGCCGGGCGACGGUUGUCCCGGUUUAAGCAUGUAGGCUGGUUGUCCAGGCAAAUCCGGAUAAUCAAGGCUGAGGUGUGAUGACGAGGCACUACGGUGCUGAAGUAACAAAUGCCCUGCUUCCAGGAAAAGCCUCUAAGCAUCAGGUAACAUCAAAUCGUACCCCAAACCGACACAGGUGGUCAGGUAGAGAAUACCAAGGCGCUUGAGAGAACUCGGGUGAAGGAACUAGGCAAAAUGGUGCCGUAACUUCGGGAGAAGGCACGCUGGUGUGUAGGUGAAGUCCCUGCGGAUGGAGCUGAGACCAGUCGAAGAUACCAGCUGGCUGCAACUGUUUAUUAAAAACACAGCACUGUGCAAACACGAAAGUGGACGUAUACGGUGUGACGCCUGCCCGGUGCCGGAAGGUUAAUUGAUGGGGUUAUCCGUAAGGAGAAGCUCUUGAUCGAAGCCCCGGUAAACGGCGGCCGUAACUAUAACGGUCCUAAGGUAGCGAAAUUCCUUGUCGGGUAAGUUCCGACCUGCACGAAUGGCGUAAUGAUGGCCAGGCUGUCUCCACCCGAGACUCAGUGAAAUUGAACUCGCUGUGAAGAUGCAGUGUACCCGCGGCAAGACGGAAAGACCCCGUGAACCUUUACUAUAGCUUGACACUGAACAUUGAGCCUUGAUGUGUAGGAUAGGUGGGAGGCUUUGAAGCGUGGACGCCAGUCUGCGUGGAGCCAACCUUGAAAUACCACCCUUUAAUGUUUGAUGUUCUAACGUUGGCCCCU